UACGUAGGGUGCGAGCGUUUAAUCGGAAUUACUGGGCGUAAAGCGUGCGCAGGCGGUUCGUUGUGUCGGCGGUGAAAGCCCCGGGCUUAACCUGGGAAUGGCCGUCGAAACUGGCGAACUGGAGUGUGGCAGAGGGGGGUGGAAUUCCGCGUGUAGCAGUGAAAUGCGUAGAGAUGCAGAGGAACACCGAUGGCGAAGGCAGCCCCCUGGGCUGACACUGACGCUCAGGCACGAAAGCGUGGGGAGCAAACAGG
rnacentral:rRNA from 1 species